CAAUCGCAGAUUUGUAUUUUUCUUCUGAUCUAAUAAGCAUUUGUUGCUUUCUUUAGGAUACGGCAGGUCAAGAGAGAUUCCAUGCAUUGGGUCCAAUUUACUACAGAGAUUCAAAUGGAGCUAUUUUAGUUUAUGACAUAACAGAUGAAGAUUCUUUUCAGAAGGUAAAAAACUGGGUCAAAGAAUUACGGAAAAUGUUGGGAAAUGAAAUCUGUUUAUGUAUAGUUGGUAAUAAAAUAGACUUGGAAAAGGAGAGACAUGUUUCCAUUCAAGAAGCAGAGUCGUAUGCAGAAUCUGUGGGAGCAAAACAUUAUCAUACUUCAGCCAAACAGAACAAAGGAAUUGAGGAACUCUUUCUUGACCUUUGUAAAAGGAUGAUAGAAACAGCACAAGUGGAUGAGAGAGCAAAAGGCAAUGGCUCUAGUCAGCCGGGAACUGCAAGGCGAGGUGUACAGAUUAUUGAUGAUGAACCUCAAGCCCAGACCAGUGGUGGAGGGUGCUGUUCUUCUGGAUAACUGUUCACGCCUAAGAAAUUAAAAGACAGAACAAAACUGUGGAUCAUUGCCCUCAACAUGAAGACUGCCAUAUUCCAAGUCACAUUAUUUUACCAAUGGAAUUAUAGAAUUAACAGUAUUUUAAAUUACGUUUAUAACACUGCAGAGACCUUAAGUGCUAAACUUAGUGGAGUUUGUGACCAGAGAAUUGGCAUUUUCUACAA
rnacentral:sRNA from 1 species